ensembl:lncRNA
GAACCAGAAAGGCCUUGUGACCUUGACUCCCAGUCUAUGUUAUGAUGAUAGGUUAAUGCUUAAAGAAGUCAAGGAGAAAAAUGGGUUGAUUGUGACAAACGAUACAUUUAAAGACUUUGGACAAGAAGGGAGGGACGUUUUCAACAAGUAAAGAUAAUCCAAUAACACUUUAAUUAAAACCAACCAUCAUAAAACUAAUGGAUCCACGUCGUAUGCAUAUUCUGGAAGAUGCUGUAUACUUGGCUGUGUGUUUUUCAUGGUAGAUUAUUUCCAGACAUCAUUAUGUUACCAUUAGCCUUUUCAUCUGCUCUUUUGGGUGUCAUGUAACAUGAAGGCUUGAUCUGUCCAAAAUCAGAAGGGAAAUCAGUGUUGAGAAAAGUACAGUAUAGUAUGGUAGUAAGAUUUCACCUCUUCCUUUACAGGUGCAUUCCUUUUGAGUUUGAUGGAAAUCAGUUCAUAGCGUUUCCAAAGGAAUCUAAGAAUAACAUUGAUUAUAACAAGAUUAUGGAGGCGAUGGUGCUCACCCAAAGUCGCCUAGACCAACACGAAC